GCCUACGGGACGCAGCAGUGAGGAAUAUUGGUCAAUGGGCGGGAGCCUGAACCAGCCAAGCCGCGUGAGGGAAGAAGGUACAGCGUAUCGUAAACCUCUUUUGCCGGGGAGCAAGGGCGGGGACGUGUCCCGGCCCGGAGAGUACCCGGAGAAAAAGCAUCGGCUAACUCCGUGCCAGCAGCCGCGGUAAUACGGAGGACGCGAGCGUUAUCCGGAUUUAUUGGGUUUAAAGGGUGCGUAGGCGGGCUUUUAAGUCAGCGGUAAAA
rnacentral:rRNA from 1 species